UUAAAUUAGUAUUAUUGAUAACAAAUAAUGAUAGAAGUACUGUAUUAAUAUUAUAUUUUUGUGGGGUGCAGGUGAUCAGAACCACUUCGUCGCAGCUUCAUUUUUCUGCAAGCCUAAGCAUCUGCAAGCCGGCAUCUAUUCCACGUGUCUGCCAGCUCCAACGAUCAAGCCCAGCCGUCCAUCAUCCAUGGAGCUUCUUCCGCGAGCCAUCCACCAUGUCUCAGCGCGUCUCAGCCCCGAGCCUAGAUUCUUUUCUUCUGCCCAGCUCUCCCGAGAUCCCAGCUCCAUGAUCACGAUCCACCCGCGCUUCCCAGCAUCUCCAUCUCAGUAAAGAUCCUUUUCUCCCGCGAUUCUCCCGCAUCCACUGCUUCCGGAUCCGUAUCUCAUCUAGAUCUCAGCCUUCUGCGAUCAAAUCUCCCAAGCUUCCACGUUCCAGCCUCCUCAGAUCCCGUCCGCGUGUGAUCCAGCACUCGUCUGCGCCCCAU
rnacentral:lncRNA from 1 species